AAGAGAUGUAAGAUUUAUUCUGGCCAUAAAUACUCAAUAGCCAACCUUUGAUUUUCAUGCUGAUAAAGUGAGAAAAACACAAAGAACACUACCAAGCUGAAUACCUCCUCAUCUUUGAAUACAUUCUGGUAAAAGUAACAAACAUUAGACAAAGUCAGACAUGUACAAUUACCUAAAGAUCAAGAAUCAGCAAUAGCUUAAUCAAUAUAAACAGAUUUUGAAAGGUUAUGUUAAUCAGAGAGGCAGGGUGCUGAGCCGGCAGGGACAGGGAGAGCUGGCAGUGCCCCCAGCAACUGUGCAGGGACUGGCAGCUCCAGUCACUGUGGGGGCGGAGGGGAGGCACCCCUCAGGACCACCCCGGCUCACACCGCCAGCACCCCCACCCCCUCUGCCAGGGGUCUACGAUCAACCUCAUGAUCUGCACUCUGGCUUUCCAGGAGGAUCCGGCUGAGACUGUGCUGGCCACGGACGACACCAGCCCUUGUCUCCACCUGGCAGUCAGAGUUCUCAGUUUAAGUGAGUAACUCUCGUUCUAAUCACUCCCUCAGUUCUUUGGGUAAACCUGAUCGCCUCUGGGUUGCACCUCUGGAAGUGGCAAUCCAGUCCAUAGGAAUUCUCUGAGCAAUGUCAGCCAGGGUGGAUGGUGGGUGGCCACCAGCUGGUCCUUGCCAGAGACACUGUUACCCUACUUGCCACAUGCUCCUUCCGGCCAGCGGUAAGUGUCCACGUGUCAGCAUGGGAUGGUGACUUCCCUUCUCUGACCAAUAUUACAAUCCCUCA
rnacentral:lncRNA from 1 species